AUUUUGCUCUGCAGUUCAAGCACGUCCUUACUGUGAGGACAAUAGAACAGCUAUUCCAUUUUCCCUUGGAGUAUUUCUGGGGAAACAGUAGCUUCAAGCCAAAGACAGGCCCACGUUCCUUCCCACUCAAAGGAAGGAAAAAUCUAUGAGAUAGGGAGAGGAUUCAUCACUCAUUGCACUAACAGCAUCCAUUAUUUAAAACGAAAACGGCACC
rnacentral:lncRNA from 1 species